rnacentral:rRNA from 1 species
CGCACGGGUGAGUAACACGUAUGCAACCUGCCUGCCACAGCCGGAUAAUCGGGAGAAAUUCCGUCUAAUACGGCAUAAUGCAUCGACGGGACAUCCUGUUGGUGCCAAAGGUUAAUUCCCGUGGCGGAUGGGCAUGCGUCGCAUUAGUUAGUUGGCGGUGUAACGGACCACCAAGACGACGAUGCGUAGGGGUUCUGAGAGGAAGGUCCCCCACACUGGUACUGAGACACGGACCAGACUCCUACGGAAGGCAGCAG